GGCGAUCGAGGCGGCGACGGAGCCUGAGGCGACCGAGUCUGAGGCGACUGAGCCAGCAAGGAUUUUUGCCUCCUUCCAUCCCCUCUGGUAUACUCGGCAUGUUUCCUCAGUAAGAGAAGUUUUUACAGAAGUCCCUGUGUGAUGUGUUCACUGAGCAGCUUCAGCCUGGCACCACAAAUCCUCCUGAUGUGAGAGAACACAAAGUGCCUGAUUACCCUCUGGAUGGAAGUGGUGGGCGAUACAGACCACAAAACACAACGUAAUGUGUCGGUACAUGGUGUGGCUCCAGUGUCUUGGACACCAAACAGAAAUGGAGCAGCUGGAAGAAGUGGUACAUCCCGAGUGUCUUAGUGAUGCCCUCGGUUCUCACUUGGUUGUGACUUUCUGCAUCAGCCAGAGUGCUGAUUUUCACUCCUGCAUAAAAGCAACAGAGAGAGAGCUAGCAUUCAUCUGGCUUCAUGCUUCCUUUGGAGGGGCAUCAGGGACAGACCUGCCAAGUGUUCGACUGCAGCUCAUGGUGAAGAGAAUUUACUGAGUGAAAAUGAAGCCAUAAGCAGACUGCUCAGAGAGGUAUUUCCACAGAGCGUAAAUUCAGAAAGAAGAAAGGAGCUAUUCCUUGAGCUUCGGACAGAAACAGUGCUGGCCUGCGCAGUAUCUCUUCUAUCAGGAAGAACAGCUUCGGAG